rnacentral:rRNA from 1 species
AGUGAACGCUGGCGGUAGGCCUAACACAUGCAAGUCGAACGGCAGCACAGUAAGAGCUUGCUCUUACGGGUGGCGAGUGGCGGACGGGUGAGGAAUACAUCGGAAUCUACUUUUUCGUGGGGGAUAACGUAGGGACACUUACGCUAAUACCGCAUACGACCUACGGGUGAAAGCAGGGGAUCUUCGGACCUUGCGCGAUUGAAUGACCCGAUGUCGGAUUAGCUAGUUGGCGGGGUAAAGGCCCACCAAGGCGACGAUCCGUAGCUGGUCUGAGAGGAUGAUCAGCCACACUGGAACUGAGGCACGGUCCAGACUCCUACGGGAGGCAGCAGUGGGGAAUAUUGGACAAUGGGCGCAAGCCUGAUCCAGCCAUACCGCGUGGGUGAAGAAGGCCUUCGGGUUGUAAAGCCCUUUUGUUUGGAAAGAAAAGCAGCAGGUUAAUACCCCGCUGUUCUGACGUUACCCAAAGAAUAAGCACCGGCUAACUUCGUG